UACGUAGGGUGCAAGCGUUAAUCGGAAUUACUGGGCGUAAAGCGUGCGCAGGCGGUUUUGUAAGUCUGUCGUGAAAUCCCCCGGGCUCAACCUGGGAAUUGCGAUGGAGACUGCAAGGCUAGAAUCUGGCAGAGGGGGGUAGAAUUCCACGUGUAGCAGUGAAAUGCGUAGAGAUGUGGAGGAACACCGAUGGCGAAGGCAGCCCCCCUGGGUCAAGAUUGACGCUCAUGCACGAAAGCGUGGGGAGCGAACAGG
rnacentral:rRNA from 1 species